CCGGGACGCGGCGGACGGCUCAGGACAACGGUUGCACCCCCCGCGGCGGUCCCUGCUAGCCGGACACCGCUGGCAACCCGGCGCCAAGACGUGCGCGCAAGGGCGGGCGCCCGCGGGCGAGCAGCGUGACGCAG
rnacentral:rRNA from 1 species